UUUCCGUAGGUGAACCUGCGGAAGGAUCAUUACAGUUGGGGCCCCGCCCCGAUCAAGAUACCACCCCUUGCAUUUUGAGUACCUCUGUUUCCUCGGCAGGCUCGCCUGCCAAUGGGGACCACUUUAAAACCUCUUAUGUAUGCAGUAAACGUCCACAAAUAAAUGAAAUCAAAACUUUCAACAACGGAUCUCUUGGUUCUGGCAUCGAUGAAGAACGCAGC
rnacentral:misc_RNA from 1 species